rnacentral:rRNA from 1 species
AUUGAACGCUGGCGACAUGCCUUACACAUGCAAGUCGAACGGCAGCACGGGUGCUUGCACCUGGUGGCGAGUGGCGAACGGGUGAGUAAUACAUCGGAACAUGUCCUGUAGUGGGGGAUAGCCCGGCGAAAGCCGGAUUAAUACCGCAUACGAUCUACGGAUGAAAGCGGGGGACCUUCGGGCCUCGCGCUAUAGGGUUGGCCGAUGGCUGAUUAGCUAGUUGGUGGGGUAAAGGCCUACCAAGGCGACGAUCAGUAGCUGGUCUGAGAGGACGACCAGUCACACUGGGACUGAGACACGGCCCAGACUCCUACGGGAGGCAGCAGUGGGGAAUUUUGGACAAUGGGCGAAAGCCUGAUCCAGCAAUGCCGCGUGUGUGAAGAGGGCCUUCGGGUUGUAAAGCACUUUUGUCCGGAAAGAAAUCCUUGGCCCUAAUACGGUCGGGGGAUGACGGUACCGGAAGAAUAAGCACCGGCUAACUACGUG